CCAUGUGUUUUCAACAGCAUUUACGUAGCUUUGAGGAAACGUCCAAGCGCGCUUGGAUGAAAUGUAGCUGCUAAUGUUAAGAACAGA